UGGGGAAUAUUGGACAAUGGGCGCAAGCCUGAUCCAGCCAUGCCGCGUGAGUGAUGAAGGCCCUAGGGUUGUAAAGCUCUUUCACCGGUGAAGAUAAUGACGGUAACCGGAGAAGAAGCCCCGGCUAACUUCGUGCCAGCAGCCGCGGUAAUACGAAGGGGGCUAGCGUUGUUCGGAUUUACUGGGCGUAAAGCGCACGUAGGCGGACUUUUAAGUCAGGGGUGAAAUCCCGGGGCUCAACCCCGGAACUGCCUUUGAUACUGGAAGUCUUGAGUAUGGUAGAGGUGGGUGGAAUUCCGAGUGUAGAGGUGAAAUUCGUAGAUAUUCGGGGGAACACCAGUGGCGAAGGCGGCUCACUGGACCAUUACUGACGCUGAGGUGCGAAAGCGUGGGGAGCAAACAGG
rnacentral:rRNA from 1 species